rnacentral:rRNA from 1 species
GGAUUGACACAUCGGUCGUGCCUUAAGGGGUAUGAACUGGUGUAGUCAGUUUCUCACCUUCUGGAGAACCGCGAUGUCCUUAAUUGGGUGCCGCGGGGAACCAGGACCUUUACUUUGAAAAAAUUAGAGUGUUUAAAGCAGGCAUUUUGCUUGAAUACAUUAGCAUGGAAUAAUAAAAUAGGACGGAUGGUUCUAUUUUGUUGGUUUCUAGGAUCGAUGUAAUGAUUAAUAGGGAUAGUUGGG